rnacentral:rRNA from 1 species
UCCUGGCUGUAAACGAUGCGGGCUAGGUGUCGGGCCAGCCACGAGCUGGCCCGGUGCCGGAGGGAAGCCGUUAAGCCCGCCGCCUGGGGAGUACGGCCGCAAGGCUGAAACUUAAAGGAAUUGGCGGGGGAGCACGACAACGGGUGGAGCCUGCGGUUUAAUUGGAUUCAACGCCGGGAAGCUUACCGGGGGAGACAGCUCGAUGAAGGUCGGGCUGAAGACCCUACCAGAGU